UCUCGGGUAGUAUAGUGGUGAGUAUCCCCGCCUGUCACGCGGGAGACCGGGGUUCAAUUCCCCGCUCGAGAG